rnacentral:pre_miRNA from 1 species
GCUGGGAAGAGGAAGAAGCGAGAGUCCACGAGCAGUGGGGAUGGGAACACAGAGAAAACUAUAAAUUCUCUAUUUUCUCUUCUAGCAUUAGAUGAGGAGAUUUUGUUUUGUGUUUUUCCGGUGCCUCUCAUUCCUAUUGUUCUUGGAUUCUCCUUCCCCUCCCCUUUAGCU